rnacentral:rRNA from 1 species
UACGUAGGGUGCAAGCGUUGUCCGGAAUUAUUGGGCGUAAAGAGCUGGUAGGCGGUCUGUCGCGUCUGCUGUGAAAACUCAGGGCUUAACCCUGAGCUUGCAGUGGGUACGGGCAGACUAGAGUGCGGUAGGGGAGACUGGAAUUCCUGGUGUAGCGGUGAAAUGCGCAGAUAUCAGGAGGAACACCGGUGGCGAAGGCGGGUCUCUGGGCCGUAACUGACGCUGAGGAGCGAAAGCAUGGGGAGCGAACAGG